CCUACGGGGGGCAGCAGUGGGGAAUAUUGGACAAUGGGGGGAACCCUGAUCCAGCCAUGCCGCGUGUGUGAAGAAGGCCCUCGGGUUGUAAAGCACUUUCAGUGAGGAAGAACGCCUGGUGGUUAAUACCCAUCAGGAAAGACAUCACUCACAGAAGAAGCACCGGCUAACUCCGUGCCAGCAGCCGCGGUAAUACGGAGGGUGCGAGCGUUAAUCGGAAUUACUGGGCGUAAAGCGCGCGUAGGUGGCUUGAUAAGCCGGUUGUGAAAGCCCCGGGCUCAACCUGGGAACGGCAUCCGGAACUGUCAAGCUAGAGUGCAGGAGAGGAAGGUAGAAUUCCCGGUGUAGCGGUGAAAUGCGUAGAGAUCGGGAGGAAUACCAGUGGCGAAGGCGGCCUUCUGGACUGACACUGACACUGAGGUGCGAAAGCGUGGGUAGAAAACAGGAUUAGAUACCCGAGUAGUC
rnacentral:rRNA from 1 species